UCCCGAAUUAGUUAGGAACCGUCUGAGUCGUUAGAUCUCGGCUGGAAAACUCGACAAUUGUUGGAUCUGUCAGGAGAUAUCUGAGGGUUAAAACCCCAGUGAAUAGGGACGAAAGCCCCGAAAUAGAUCUAGACCGUCCGAGCGACGGAGGCCACGUGUCAUGAGAUUUCCCAUUUCGAGAAAUGGGGAACCGCGAAGGCAGCUCUCUGGGUCCCCACUGACGUUGGGGUGCGAAAGCAUGGGGAGAAAACAUGAUCAGAUACCCUUGUAGUCCAUGCCGUAAGCAAUGAGUGUUCGUCCUUGGUAUGCCUGCCUACUAGGUAGGAUUAGGAUCAGGGGCCCAGCUAACGCGUGAAACACUUCGCCUGGGGAGUACGGUCGCAAGACUCAAACUCAAAGGAAUCAAACUGUAGCGCACCCUUUCAUCUACAAAGUCUUAAUCAUUCUUAAAAGGAAACUUUAACACCACAUGG
rnacentral:ncRNA from 1 species